GAAGGGGCCAGCUGAGAGCUGUUCAUGUCACAGCAUUAGACUCCAGCUCAUAUUCUGACUUAUUAAAUAUACCCAAGUCUUUCGGUUUCUCAGAGCCCCUCCUGCCAACUGCAGCAACCACAGGCGGAUACCACUUCGAGCGCAGCCCAGAUGUGGGAGCACGAGUGAGUGGACAGAUGCGGGGAAGGUCAGCCGAAGCUUCAGACACAGGCCAGGCUUCCCUCAAGUGGAAACCUGGAGCCGGCGUGGUUGUCGCUCAGCUCUGUCCUGACCCGAUGAGAAACAUCCAAGUCUAACCAAGUGCAAGAAGAAGCCCGGCCCAGCUCAGCCCACAGCAUCACCAAGGGCUGUUCUCUAGCUUUGGAGAACCCAGGAAGUGGAGCACAGCACUAAGGGUCAAACAGACCUGGGCCCAUUGAAUGGUCUCCACCACUUUUGAGCUGUUUCACUUUGGGAGGUGACCUGAGCUCUCUGAUAAUCAAAGGCCCUGUCUCACAAGAGUAUCACCAGACUGGAGUGCAGUGGCACGAUCUUGGCUCACUGCAACCUCCGCCUCCCGGGUUCAAACAAUUCUCCUGCCUCAGCCUUCCGAAUAACUGGAACUACAGGCACGCGCCACCAUGCUCAGCUCAUUUUUAUAUUUUUUAGUGGAGACAGGGUUUCAGUGUGUUGGCCAGGAUGGUCUCAAUCUCUUGAACUCAUGAUCUGCCCGCCUUGGCCUCCCAAAGUGCUGGGAUUACAGGCGUGAGCCACUGCGCCCAGCCCGAUGACAGAGGUUUAUAAAGCACUUAGCACUGGGCUGACACACAGUAAGCAUGUGAUCACUGUGAGCUGCUGCUGCAGUGAACCCAGAGGUCUACUCCUUUCAGACUCUCCAGCCUUUCACAGCAGAACCUCAAUGCCCCUCGCCCACCAUGAGUGUUCCAGGUGGAUCUGUGUAUGUCGACAUACACUGUAUGGUCGUGUAUGUCCACACAGACCACAGGCACCAUGUGCUCCAGCCCAUAAAGCCCCUAAAAACACCCUGUGUGCAUGCCAGUGUUCAUGCCAGCAUUUCUUCCCACACAUGCUCCUGGAGCUUCCUCCCCAUUCUCAGGGUAUCAGUGGAGUGCUGGGUUCUGAGCAGGCACCAAGAGAAUGAGGCCCUGCUGAGCUCUGGACUUCACUCAGCCAUUAGAGGUCAGGGCAGCUGUGCUUGUGCCAGAACUGGUCUAGCCUCAGUCCCUCAUUUUCAAAGUGUGCUGGGAAGAAUCGCCAGCUUACUGGAGCCUCAGUUUCUCCAUCUGGAAAAUGGGAGGGUUUUAUGAACUAAAUCGUGUUUUCCCAAACACAGUUCAUAUGCUGAAGCCCUAACCCUCAGUGUGACUGCAUUUGGAGAUAUGACCUAAAAGGAGGCAGGAGGGGUUAAAUGAGGUCAUAAGCUAGGUUUUCUGUUUUCCAAGGCAAGAGUCUUGCUCUGCCCUCCAGGCUAGAGAGCAGUGACCUGAUUUCAGCUCACUGCAAUCUCUGCCUUCCGGGUUCAGUGAUUCACCUGCCUCAGCUUCCUGAGUAGCUGGGAUUACAGGUAUGCACCACUACUUUUUUUGUAUUGUUGGUAGAGAUGGGGUUUCACCAUGUUGGCCAGGCUGGUCUCGAACUCCUGACCUCAUGAUCCACCUGCCUCAGCCUCCCAAAGUGCUGGGAUUACAGGCUUGAGCCACCAAGCCCGGCCAGGCUGGGGUUUUAAUCAGUUAGGACUAGUGUCCUUAUGAGAAGAGAUACCAGAGAACUCUCUGUCUUGGUGUCUUUUAUGCUACAUAUGCACAGAGAAGAGGACAUGUGGGGAAACAGUAAGAAGGUAACCGUCCACAAGCCAAGAAGAGAGGCCUCACCAGAAACCAAGCUGACCACCACCUUGGACUUGUAACCUCCAGAACUGUGAGAAAAUAAAUUUCUGUU